GCCCCUGUGGCUCAGCGGUUAGAGCAUUCUCUGUGAUUAUACUUGCGUGAUAGUGUAUGAGGAAGGCGUGGGUUCGACUCCCGCCGAGGGCA